GGCACGUCCACAGUCCUCUUGACUGGAACAUAAAACCCCGGUCUUUUAGCGUGGGAUGUCAUUCAGCCCUAACCAGAAGCGAAGCACCGAUACGUGUCACAACUUGGAUGAGCUCGAAAGCAGGGGCCCCAUCGCGGCUGGCUAGGACCCGCCGGCUUCAGCCCCUUUAAGACGACUUUGGAGGACCCAGUUUCAAAGCCCGGGGCGACUCUCUGGCCCCCGCCUCUAUGGUGCGUCGUCACUUCCGGCCGGAAGUGCGUGUGCAGCGCGGCUUCGGCGCAGGGGGCGUGGAGUGAGUGGAGGCGCGCGCUUGCUCGUGGGGUUCGUCAGAAAACGAGAACUUCCAGCCCCCGGCGGUGAGACGCGGGCAGGCCGCGGGCGGGGCGAGCCCUCCGCGCUCGGUGCGGGAGUCUAGGUGAGUUCACGGGAAGAUCUGUGUGCGGGGUGAAUGCUUCCGUGUACCUGAAGUGUAAUUGUUGGGGGCUUGGAACUUUCCAGCUUCCUUGGGUUUCAUUUACUCGACCAUGUAGCUUCUGAAUGCCGACCUGCUGAAGACCCUGUUUUGUAUGGAUACAAAUAAAAGGGGUCCGUCCCCAAGGAGA